AGGUAGCACCCAUACUCUUAUACGGCCCUGAAUAUGGCCAUUUCAUUACCUUAAGGAAAUUAAUUGCAAUUUGAUUCUUUGAAGCUUCACUGCCCCCAAGUUCUAUUCUUGUUACUCCGAGAAGAUAAAUAAACAAGUGAAACUUGAGAUAUUGUGUAUGGGAAGCAUAGGGAGCUUGCUCUCACAAGAAGAUUGUGGCAGCAUCACCAGCUAUCGUAUUUUGGAAUCAUUCUUCCGGAAAAAACCAGUGUUUUUGCAGGUACCACCAUUGUCAUAUUUCAUAGCACAUUUUCUAUUUCAUCCAUUGCAUACAGUCGUACAUAUUCAGAGAAUACAUGGCUAUUUGAUUAACACAAUCAGCACUCCAAGUCUCCAAUAAAUUAAUUUUUUUUGUCAGUGUAGUCAAGACUGCUUUGCCUGGCCGGAAUCCCUGUGCCUUACUGAGUAACUAGGAGGGGGUGAAAACGUGAAAUAUUAAAAGUGUGUAAAAUACAAUGUCUGUAAUGUAGUAUUGAUGCAUUAUAUAUUGAAUUUCUAUAAUUUAUAUUCAAUAAAACAAGAAUCUUUGAAAAUAAUUUUUGCUU